rnacentral:rRNA from 1 species
UGGGGAAUAUUGGACAAUGCGGGAAACCGUGAUCCAGCAAUGCCGCGUGAGUGAUGAAGGCCUUAGGGUUGUAAAGCUCUUUUACCAGGGAUGAUAAUGACAGUACCUGGAGAAUAAGCUCCGGCUAACUCCGUGCCAGCAGCCGCGGUAAUACGGAGGGAGCUAGCGUUGUUCGGAAUUACUGGGCGUAAAGCGCGCGUAGGCGGCUAUUUAAGUCAGGGGUGAAAUCCCGGGGCUCAACCCCGGAACUGCCCUUGAAACUAGGUAGCUAGAAUACUGGAGAGGUGAGUGGAAUUCCGAGUGUAGAGGUGAAAUUCGUAGAUAUUCGGAAGAACACCAGUGGCGAAGGCGACUCACUGGACAGUUAUUGACGCUGAGGUGCGAAAGCGUGGGGAGCAAACAGGAUUAGAUACCCCCGUAGUCC